GGCGCGUUCGUCUAUCAGUUAGGACACGGCCCUCUCAAGGCUGAAAGACGGGUGCGAUUCCCGUACGCGCUACCA
rnacentral:tRNA from 3 species